GACGAACGCUGGCGGCGUGCUUAACACAUGCAAGUCGAACGGAAAGGCCCUGCUUUUGUGGGGUGCUCGAGUGGCGAACGGGUGAGUAACACGUGAGUAACCUGCCCUUGACUUUGGGAUAACUUCAGGAAACUGGGGCUAAUACCGGAUAGGAGCUCCUGCUGCAUGGUGGGGGUUGGAAAGUUUCGGCGGUUGGGGAUGGACUCGCGGCUUAUCAGCUUGUUGGUGGGGUAGUGGCUUACCAAGGCUUUGGCGGGUAGCCGGCCUGAGAGGGUGACCGGCCACAUUGGUACUGAAAUACGGCCCAGACUCCUACGGAAGACAGAAGUGGGGAAUAUUGCACAAUGGGCCGAAGCCUGAUGCAGCAACGCCGCGUGCGGGAUGACGGCCUUCGGGUAGUAAACCGCUUUCGCCUGUGACGAAGCGUGAGUGACGGUAAUGAGUAAAUAAGCACCGGCUAACUACGUG
rnacentral:rRNA from 1 species